UAUAUAUUUAAAAGUUUAUUAUAGCUGGCAAAUUCAACUGUUUUAAUAUUUCCACGUCACAGUUUCCCGGCGUGCCACGUCACCUUCCGAGCGCUGAAAAUUUUUUAGGGGUCACAAUUGAAAAAAUGUUGUUAGAUUGGAUACCGAUUAGAUAUUAUUAAAAAGUUGGGACAUAAUUGAUAAUUCGGCCAAACGAUAGGACAUAAAGUGAUAUUACUCUUUGAAAAACGAGGGUGCUUUACAAAUUUUUAGCACAUAAAAACUGGUCUAUUAAUAAUAAUCAAGCGAAACGAGACUCUUUUAUUUUAUUUUAUUUUUUUUUUUAUUGAGGAAAAGCGAAACGAGACUUAAUGAGAAAAUGAAACAGGACAGCUUCAUAUAAUUAUUGUAUUCGUGGUUCCCACUACAGUAACAUCAUCCUUGAAAAAUCUGAUUUCUUCCCCUAAUUUUUAACAGGCGCGCGAAUAUCGCAAUCUUGAUUUGAAAAAGAAAACAAUUUUCCCCUUCCAUAAUUCAACCCUGUCUCCCUCUGCUACUUCCCACCUCCCGCAACAAUCCAAAAACCCCAUUAGAAAAAGGUGUGUGCAAUUCAAGUAAAUUACCCCAUCAAUAACAAUAUUCCCUAAAAAAAUAUUACUAAUAAAUUACUCCCAUCAAUAUAAUAAUCCCAAACCUGAAAUUAUAACUGUUCUGUUUUGCUGCAAUAAUUUGAACAUCCUCCUGCAUCCCUUCUUGUUGUUUACUCUUUUUUUGUCACUGUAUUUUCAGGUUCUUGCAGAGGUAUCCUACUCUCUCUCCAGAAAGUGUACUGUACACUACAUUCUUUUUUCCUUUUCUUUUUUAAAUUGGCUAUGUAAAGAAAUCAAGAAAGGCGCUUUUUUUAUUAGGGAGGUUUCAUCUUUGCUGUAUUUCUGUUUGUGGGUCGUGGUCGUCUAGUUUCUGGGAGAUAAAGUAGAUCAUUUUUUGUGGGUCAUGCAUAAUUUUUCCAGUCAUUUUCAGGGAUUUUUAUAGGGGCAAUGCCCAAAUUUUUAGUGUUACUUCUGUUGAUAUCUUCAUAUUUCUAUGGGAAUGACAAGUAGUUGGUAGUGGUGGGGGAAUUGCAAGGUGCCAUCAAAGUUGUUGUCUCAAAGUUUUGUGGUUCAAGUUUUUGGAUAUGAACGGUUUUAUAGUCCAAAAUGGCUUUUUUAUUCUUGUUGUGUUUCUCUUUCAGCUUUUCAUUUGAGGUUGGUUGGUUAAGGAUUGGAUUCUAAGC
rnacentral:lncRNA from 1 species